AUGGCGACCGGCGCACGGGUGAGUAACACGUAUCCAACCUGCCGAUAACUCGGGGAUAGCCUUUCGAAAGAAAGAUUAAUACUCGAUGGUAUAAUCAGACCGCAUGGUUUGAUUAUUAAAGAAUUUCGGUUAUCGAUGGGGAUGCGUUCCAUUAGGCAGUUGGUGAGGUAACGGCUCACCAAACCUUCGAUGGAUAGGGGUUCUGAGAGGAAGGUCCCCCACAUUGGAACUGAGACACGGUCCAA
rnacentral:rRNA from 1 species